GAUGAACGCUAGCUACAGGCUUAACACAUGCAAGUCGAGGGGCAGCGGGAUUGAAGCUUGCUUCAAUUGCCGGCGACCGGCGCACGGGUGAGUAACACGUAUCCAACCUUCCGUUUACUCGGGGAUAGCCUUUCGAAAGAAAGAUUAAUACCCGAUAGUAUGGUGAGAUUGCAUGAUAACACCAUUAAAGAUUCAUUGGUAAACGAUGGGGAUGCGUUCCAUUAGGUAGUAGGCGGGGUAACGGCCCACCUAGCCUACGAUGGAUAGGGGUUCUGAGAGGAAGGUCCCCCACAUUGGAACUGAGACACGGUCCAAACUCCUACGGGAGGCAGCAGUGAGGAAUAUUGGUCAAUGGACGAGAGUCUGAACCAGCCAAGUAGCGUGAAGGAUGACUGCCCUAUGGGUUGUAAACUUCUUUUAUAUGGGAAUAAAGUAUUCCACGUGUGGGAUUUUGUAUGUACCAUAUGAAUAAGGAUCGGCUAACUCCGUGCCAGCAGCCGCGGUAAUACGGAGGAUCCGAGCGUUAUCCGGAUUUAUUGGGUUUAAAGGGAGCGUAGGUGGAUUGUUAAGUCAGUUGUGAAAGUUUGCGGCUCAACCGUAAAAUUGCAGUUGAAACUGGCAGUCUUGAGUACAGUAGAGGUGGGCGGAAUUCGUGGUGUAGCGGUGAAAUGCUUAGAUAUCACGAAGAACUCCGAUUGCGAAGGCAGCUUGCGGGAGCUCAACUGACGCUGAAGCUCGAAGAUGCGGGUAUCGAACAGG
rnacentral:rRNA from 1 species